UACGGAGGGUGCAAGCGUUAAUCGGAAUUACUGGGCGUAAAGCGUGCGUAGACGGUAGCGUAAGUCAGAUGUGAAAGCCCCGGGCUCAACCUGGGAACUGCAUUUGAGACUGCUCUGCUCGGGUGCGGAAGAGGGAAGCGGAAUUUCCGGUGUAGCGGUGAAAUGCGUAGAUAUCGGAAGGAACACCAGUGGCGAAAGCGGCUUCCUGGUCCGACACCGACGUUCAGGCACGAAAGCGUGGGGAGCAAACAGG
rnacentral:rRNA from 1 species